UACGGAGGGUGCGAGCGUUGUCCGGAAUCACUGGGCGUAAAGGGCGCGUAGGUGGCGGCUCAAGUCAACGGUGAAAGCUCGACGCUUAACGUCGAGUCGGCCGUCGAUACUGGGUUGCUCGAGCACUGUAGAGGCAGAUGGAAUUCCGGGUGUAGCGGUGGAAUGCGUAGAGAUCCGGAAGAACACCGGUGGCGAAGGCGGUCUGCUGGGCAGUAGCUGACACUGAGGCGCGACAGCGUGGGGAGCAAACAGG
rnacentral:rRNA from 1 species